GAUGAACGCUGGCGGCGUGCUUAACACAUGCAAGUCGAACGGAAAGGCUCCUGCUUGCAGGGGUACUCGAGUGGCGAACGGGUGAGUAACACGUGGGUGAUCUGCCCUGCACUUCGGGAUAAGCCUGGGAAACUGGGUCUAAUACCGGAUAGGACGAUGGUUUGGAUGCCAUUGUGGAAAGUUUUUCGGUGUGGGAUGAGCUCGCGGCCUAUCAGCUUGUUGGUGGGGUAAUGGCCUACCAAGGCGUCGACGGGUAGCCGGCCUGAGAGGGUGUACGGCCACAUUGGGACUGAGAUACGGCCCAGACUCCUACGGGAGGCAGCAGUGGGGAAUAUUGCACAAUGGGCGCAAGCCUGAUGCAGCGACGCCGCGUGGGGGAUGACGGCCUUCGGGUUGUAAACUCCUUUCGCUAGGGACGAAGCGGAAGUGACGGUACCUGGAGAAGAAGCACCGGCUAACUACGUG
rnacentral:rRNA from 1 species